UCUUCAGGGAGUAGGAUGAUUUGUAAG
rnacentral:piRNA from 1 species